rnacentral:rRNA from 1 species
AAUGAACGUUGGCGGCGUGGAUUAGGCAUGCAAGUCGCGCGACAAGGAACCUUCGGGUUCUGGAGGAGCGGCAAACGGGGUAGUAAGGCAUCGGAACGUACCCUCUUGUUGGGAAUAGCCGCGGGAAACUGCGAGUAAUGCCCAAUAAUCCCUACGGGGCAAAGGUCCGCCGCAGGAGGAGCGGCCGAUGUGAUACCAGCUAGUUGGUGAGGUAAUGGCUCACCAAGGCUUAGACGUCUAGGGGGUGUGAGAGCAUGGCCCCCACCACUGGGACGUGAGAUACUGCCCACGACACCUACGGGUGGGCUGCAGUCGAGAAUCUUCGGCAAUGGGCGGCAAGCCUGACCGAGCAACGCCGCGUGCGGGAGUGAAGGACCC